rnacentral:rRNA from 1 species
GACGAACGCUGGCGGCGUGCUUAACACAUGCAAGUCGAACGGUAAGGCCCUUCGGGGUACACGAGUGGCGAACGGGUGAGUAACACGUGGGUGAUCUGCCCUGCACUUCGGGAUAAGCCUGGGAAACUGGGUCUAAUACCGGAUAGGACCACUGCCUGCAGGGGUGGUGGUGGAAAGCUUUUGCGGUGUGGGAUGGGCCCGCGGCCUAUCAGCUGGUUGGUGGGGUGAUGGCCUACCAAGGCGAGGACGGGUAGCCGGCCUGAGAGGGUGACCGGCCACACUGGGACUGAGAUACGGCCCAGACUCCUACGGGAGGCAGCAGUGGGGAAUAUUACACAAUGGGCGCAAGCCUGAUGCAGCGACGCCGCGUGAGGGAUGACGGCCUUCGGGUUGUAAACCUCUUUCAGCACCGACGAAGCGCAAGUGACGGUAGGUGCAGAAGAAGGACCGGCCAACUACGUGCCAGCAGCCGCCGUAA